rnacentral:lncRNA from 1 species
AAUAAUUUGUGGUGUAGAAAGAAAAGAAGAGACUUUGGAAUAAAGCAGACCUGGGCACCACUUAUUGACACCUUCAACUUCCACAGACUUCUGAAUCUCCCCAAACAUCUGUUUUUUCACUUUUGAAAUGACAGAAAUUCAAGGGAUGUUGGGAAGUGAAAUAUCUACAAGACUCACCAAGAGAAAAGACCAUGUGAGGACACAGUAAGAAGGAGGCCAUAUGCAAAGCAGAAAGGAAGACCUCACCAGAACCAAAAACCAACCCUGCUGGCACCCUCAUCUUGGACUUCUAGCCUUUCUCAGAACUGAGUCUAACUUAAGGAAUCGAUCUUUUGGCCAUUGAAUUUUUAAUGGUGCCCACUUUGAUGGCUUGUUGUACUAGUGCCUUUGAUCUCCAUCAUAGAAAAUGCUCUGCUCCAUUUCCAAAGAGAUUGUCAGGUUCUGCAAGUCAGGAAUCCAUUUGUGGCUUAGCUGGGUCCUUUGGAAAGAAUCAAGAUGUCUACCAGAUUGAAAAAAAAAAAGAAAUUCUGCCAUUCGCAACAACAUGGAUGAAACUUGAGGGCAUUAUGCUUAGUGAAAUAAAUCAAGCACAGAAAGAGAAAUACCAUAUGAUCUUACCUAUAUGUUAA